AUUGAACGCUGGCGGCAUGCCUUACACAUGCAAGUCGAACGGCAGCACGGGUGCUUGCACCUGGUGGCGAGUGGCGAACGGGUGAGUAAUACAUCGGAACAUGUCCUGUAGUGGGGGAUAGCCCGGCGAAAGCCGGAUUAAUACCGCAUACGAUCUACGGAUGAAAGCGGGGGACCUUCGGGCCUCGCGCGAUAGGGUUGGCCGAUGGCUGAUUAGCUAGUUGGGGGGGGAAAGGCCUACCAAGGCGACUAUCAGUAGCUGGUCUGAGAGGGCGACCAGCCACACUGGGACUGGGACACGGCCCAGACUCCUACGGGAGGCAGCAGUGGGGAAUGUUGGACAAAGGGCGAAAGCCUGAUACAGCAAUGCCGCGUGUGUGAAGAAGGCCUUCGGGUUGUAAAGCACUUUUGUCCGGAAAGAAAUCCUUGGCCCUAAUACGGUCGGGGGAUGACGGUACCGGAAGAAUAAGCACCGGCUAACUACGUG
rnacentral:rRNA from 1 species